CUUGGACGGAGCAGCAUAUCGCCGAAACCAAACAGCGGUCUCCACUGUCCUCGAAGCUCAACCAACGAUCAGACCAAAAUCUUGUUGAUCGCCUUCCAGUUUCCACUCUCUCAAUUCUCUUUACUUCAUCAAUUCCAGUUCGUGAUGGCUUUCAACUAAUUGAAUUCGCCUCCUCCUCGCAUUGCCCAUUUCCAGAUCCCGGACAUGGAGCCCGACGUUAGCAUGGAAACCAGCUCCAUGAUCAGGGUGGCGGUGCUGCCGAUCGGUUCGGUUCCGCCGACGCAACUCCGGGACUACUUGUCGAUGCUUCUGCGGCACGAAUUGAUUCCACUCUCGGCCAUCAGUUCCUUCUAUACUGAGCAUCAGAAGUCCCCCUUUGCUCAUCAGCCUUGGGACUCCGGUAGCCUCAGCUUCAAGUUCAUACUCGGUGGAGAUCCGCCCAGCCCUUGGGAAGACUUCCAAUCCAACCGCAAGAUCCUUGCUGUUAUUGGUAUCUGCCACUGUCCUUCCUCGCCCGAUCUUGAUUCGGUUAUUGAGCAGUUCAAUGCCGCCUGUAAGGGUUACUCUUCAGCGCUCGUCGAACGCUGUUUCGCGUUUUGCCCAGAUGAUUCUCAGCUGGAAGAAGGCAGCAAAAAAGGAGGUAAUUUGAGGUUGUUUCCUCCAGCUGACCGCCAAACUCAGGAAUUUCACUUGAACACAAUGAUGCAAGAUAUUGCAGCUUCCUUGUUGAUGGAAUUUGAGAAAUGGGUCCUUCAAGCAGAGUCUGCUGGAACUAUUUUGAAAACGCCUUUGGAUUCUCAAGCAAGUCUCAGCUCAGAGGAGGUUAUUAAAGCCAAAAAGAGAAGGCUUGGUCGUGCUCAGAAGACAAUCGGUGACUAUUGUCUGUUGGCGGGUUCGCCAGUUGAUGCCAAUGCUCACUAUUCUACUGCAAUAGAUCUUGCUAGGUUAACUGGUGAUUAUUUUUGGUAUGCGGGGGCUCUGGAGGGAAGUGUCUGCGCAUUACUGAUUGAUCGAAUGGGUCAGAAGGAUUCAGUUUUGGAGGAAGAAGUCAGAUACAGAUACAACAGUGUUAUUUUGCAUUACAGGAAGUCAUUUAUACAAGAUAACACCCAGAGGGUUUCACCCCUAAGUUUUGAGCUUGAGGCUACUUUGAAGUUGGCUAGAUUUCUUUGCAGGAGAGAGUUGGCUAAAGAGGUUGCAGAGUUAUUAACCAGUGCUGCAGAUGGUGCUAAAUCUUUGAUUGAUGCCAGUGAUAGAUUAAUAUUAUAUGUUGAAAUAGCUCGUUUAUUUGGUUCUCUUGGUUACCAGCGGAAAGCUGCUUUCUUUUCAAGGCAGGUUGCUCAGUUAUACUUGCAACAGGAAAAUAGACAUGCUGCUGUUAGUGCGUUGCAAGUCUUGGCCCUGACAACAAAAGCUUAUCGAGUUCAAAGUAGAUCAUCUGUUACUGACCAUUCUUUGUCCCCUAAAAAGGUUGGCCUGAGUAAUUCUGAUUCCGGAAAAAUACACCAUCAAUCGUUAGUAUCUUUAUUUGAAUCUCAAUGGAGUACUUUGCAAAUGGUUGUAUUAAGGGAGAUUCUGCUCUCUGCUAUCCGUGCUGGAGAUCCUCUUGCUGCAUGGAGUGCUGCGGCACGGCUACUUAGAUCUUAUUAUCCUUUAAUAACACCAGCAGGCCAAAAUGGCCUGGCAAGUGCACUUUCAAAUUCAGCAGAGAGGUUACCAUCAGGCGUUCGCUGUGCUGAUCCUGCCUUGCCCUUCAUAAGGCUGCAUUCUUUUCCUCUCCAUCCUUCACAAUUGGACAUUGUAAAACGCAAUCCGAAUAAGGAAGACUGGUGGGCAGGAGCUGCCCCUUCUGGACCUUUCAUUUAUACUCCAUUCAGCAAAGGAGACACAUCAAAUAGCAGCAAGCAGGAACUGAUUUGGGUUGUUGGAGAACCAGUGCAGGUCCUCGUGGAAUUAGCCAACCCAUGUGGCUUCGAUUUAAGGGUUGAUAGUAUAUACCUUUCUGUGCAUUCAGGAAAUUUUGAUGCUUUUCCAGUUUUCGUGAAUCUUCCUCCCAAUUCAUCAAAGGUGGUUACUUUAUCUGGCAUUCCUACUUCAGUUGGGCCGGUAAGAAUUCCCGGGUGCAUUGUCCAUUGCUUUGGUGCAAUAACUGAACACCUUUUUAAGGAUGUUGACAAUCUACUCACUGGGGUGGUUCAAGGACUUGUGCUUUCUGACCCUUUUCGGAGCUGUGGGUCCAUGAAGUUGAGAAAUGUAUCAGUUCCAAAUAUAUCUGUCAUAUCACCAUUGCCGUUGCUAGUUUCACACGUUGUUGGUGGUAAUGGUGCCGUUAUUCUCUAUGAAGGUGAAAUUCGUGAUAUAUGGAUACAUCUGGCUAAUGCAGGUACAAUCCCAGUUGAGCAGGCACAUAUAUCGCUGUCCGGAAAACACCAAGAUUCCGUUAUCUCUAUUGCUUUUGAAACUUUAAAAUCUGCUCUUCCUUUGAAGCCCGGUGCUGAAGUGAUCAUACCUGUGACCUUAAAAGCUUGGCAGCUUGGGGUGGUUGAUUCUGAUACAGUUACUGGCAAGGGUGCAUCUGCAAGCAUGUUAAGGCAUUCCAGGGAUGGCAGUAGCCCUACUUUCUUGAUACAUUAUGCAGGGCCUAUGACGAAUACUGGAGAUGUGCUCGCUGAUGGUUCUGCCAUACCCCCUGGUAGACGCUUAGUUAUUCCACUGCAAAUUUGUGUUCUGCAGGGUUUGUCCUUUGUGAAAGCACGAUUGCUUUCAAUGGAGAUUCCAGCACAUGUGGGUGAAGACCUUCCUAAACUAGCUGAAAUCGAUAAUGACUCUACAGAACAACCCAUUGAUGAUACUCAAAGCAAGAUUGACAGAUUGGUGAAGAUUGAUCCAUUCAGGGGAAGUUGGGGUCUCCGGUUUCUUGAACUUGAGUUGUCAAAUCCAACUGAUGUCAUGUUUGAAAUUAGUGUCUCUGUCCAGGUGGAAAAUUCAAGCCAUGAGGGAAAAAGAUCCAGUGACCAAGAUGUUACUGAAUAUAGUUACCAUAAAACAAGAAUAGACAGGGAAUUCUCUGCAAGAGUGCUAAUACCCUUAGAACACUUUAAGUUGCCUGUUCUUGAUGGUUCAUUCUUUGGAAAAGAUGUUCCAUCAGAUGGGACGGCUAGUACCAGAAAUUUAAGCUUCUCAGAAAAGAAUACAAAAGCAGAACUAAAUGCUUCGAUCAAGAAUCUAAUUUCUAGAAUAAAGGUCAAGUGGCAGUCGGGGCGGAAUAGCUUUGGAGAAUUAAACAUCAAGGAUGCUAUACUGGCAGCCUUGCAAUCAUCAGUGAUGGAUGUCUUGUUGCCAGAUCCCUUGACUUUUGGCUUCAGAACAACUAGUGAUAGUUCGGAAAGUAGAGAAUCGAAUCUGAAUCUUCAGACUGCAUCUUCCCAGAGUUCUCUGGAAGCACACAAAAUGACGCCUUUAGAAGUUAUUGUUCGUAAUAAUACCAAGGAAAUUAUCAAAAUGAGUCUUAAUAUAACUUGCAGAGAUGUAGCUGGUGAGAAUUGUGUCGAGGGUGGCAAAUCAACUGUCCUAUGGAAUGGUGUGCUAAGUGGGAUCGCCAUGGAAGUGCCUCCGCUCGAAGAGACUACACAUUCUUUCUCAUUGUAUUUUCUUAUUCCGGGCGAAUACUCGCUGUCAGCUGCUGCAAUAAUCGAUGAUGCUACAGACAUCCUCAGAGCUCGUGCAAGAACCAGUUCGCCCGAUGAACCAAUUUUCUGCUGCGGACCUCCAUACCACAUUCAUGUUAGCGGGACUGCAUGAGUUUUUUCUUCUUCGAUCGGUAUACUACAACAUGAUGGUUUCUCUAGGGGAUUCAUUUCUCAAAGUACAGGAACCAAUCUUUUACAUGGUUGCUGAUUUCAUCAUUUUAGCAGGUGUACUGUAUGUAACUGAUAGGGGUGUAAGGACCCGACUCGACUCUAUCCGGUUCGGUUUUCUUCUCCACUUAACCGAAUCUAUUGGAUUUUUUGUUUUUCAAUUUUGCCCACAAACCGACCCGACCCGACCCCCAUAGUAACUGAUACAACCACUUCUAACCAAAAGUUAAGCAAUAAAUUCUUCCUGUAUUAUAUUUCAUCUCAACAAAACAAAAUGUUUUUAUGUAUAAUAGUUCCUAUUUAUUUUACCAACAUAUAUAUGA